rnacentral:misc_RNA from 1 species
GAUGAAGAACGCAGCGAACUGCGAUAAGUAAUGUGAAUUGCAGAAUUCAGUGAAUCAUCGAGUCUUUGAACGCACAUUGCGCCCCCUGGCAUUCCGGGGGGCAUGCCUGUCCGAGCGUCAUUGCUGCCCUUCAAGCCCGGCUUGUGUGUUGGGUCGUCGUCCCCCCCGGGGGACGGGCCCGAAAGGCAGCGGCGGCACCGCGUCCGGUCCUCGAGCGUAUGGGGCUUUGUCACCCGCUCGAUUAGGGCCGGCCGGGCGCCAGCCGGCGUCUCCAACCUUCUAUUUUACCAGGUUGACCUCGGAUCAGGUAGGGAUACCCGCUGAACUUAAGCAUAUCAAUAAGCGGGAGGA